rnacentral:rRNA from 1 species
AAAUUGAAGAGUUUGAUCAUGGCUCAGAUUGAACGCUGGCGGCAGGCCUAACACAUGCAAGUCGAACGGUAACAGGAARMAGCUUGCUKYUUYGCUGACGAGUGGCGGACGGGUGAGUAAUGUCUGGGAAACUGCCUGA